CAGCCUUAUGCAGCUCGGAUCCUGUGUUGCUGUGGUUGUGGCAUAGGCUUGCAGCUGCAACUCCUAUUCAACCUCUGGCCUGGGAGCUUCCAUAUGCCAUGGGUGCAGCCCUAAAAAGCAUAAUAAAUAAAUUUAUUAAUUAAUAAAUUAAUAAAAAAAGAUGAAAGUUUGAGAACCAGAGCCUUUUUGUUCUUGCUAUGCUCCCUUCCUAGAGUGCUCUCCUUUCAUUUUUAAUUUUCUCUAGCUCUGCUUUUUUCUAGCACAUGAAUACCCUUAAGUGCUACCCCAGAUGUCACCUCUUCUAUUAAAUUUUCUUGGUUCCAUCCCAGCAUCCCAGCAAACCCCACCUUUGUUCUCCCUACCAAUUUGUUUCUGCCCCUCUUAGAACACUUCUCAUCUUGUACUUAAAAUACAUCUCUAGCCUUCUCUCCACUGUGAGUUUUUUGAGACACAAGCACUGUGCCCUAUUUAUUCUCAUUCUUCUCUUCAAUGCCCAGCACAGUGCCUGACAUCGAGUAGUACCCACCAGAGGUUUGCAUGUAGGAAGACCUACAAGGUAGGCCUUGGUCCUAGAGGAACAUGGGUAGUGGGUAAGAACAAAAGCAGGGAUCUAGUUACUUGCUCCAGGGCAAGAGACUGUCACUUUGCUCUAUUCGAAUGGGUGAGGCUAGCACUCAGCAGCUAAAACCAAAGAAACAUCACUGCAAACCAGACUCUGCUAUCUACCCGUUUAGGACACUUACAGUUCCUCAUAGUGUGGAUGGAGGAUUGUCCUCAGAUCUACAAGCCAGGGUCAUUUGUACCAGCUGGUCCUCACUUCAGCUUCUAUGGAUUACAUUUGUGAUGAUAAAUGCUCUGAGAGCUAAAUGUGGGAAAACUUGGCAGUGGUUAUCAAGUUGGGGGAGCGUUGUUUCAAACAUGGAGAUACCAUCAAGCACUCUUUCUCUCUGUAUAUGUGUGUGUAUAUGUGUGUGUGUGUAUAUAUACAAAUUUUAGGUCAAAGCUCAGAAGUGCCAUUGUCCUGCUGAUGUCCAUGACUCAAAGUCUUUUAAGAAAUAUCUUCUGGGUUUUAACCAAGGUUGCAUAGCUGUGUGGAUGCCUGGUAAAAGUCCUGAUGUGACAAUUUCUUUCUUUCUUCUUCUUCUUUUAUUUAUUUAUUUAUUUUUGUCAUUUUGUUUUUUUUUAGGGCCACACCUGUGGCACACGGAGGUUCCCAGGCUAGAGGUCUAAUCGGAGCUGUAGCUGUCAGCCUUUGCCACAGCCACAGCAAUGCGGGAUCCAAGCUGCAUCUGCGACCUACACCACAGCUCACAGCAACGCUGGAUCCUUAACCCACUGAGUGAGGCCAGGGAUUGAAUCCACAACCUCACUGUUCCUAGUCAGAUUCGUUUCCGCUGCAACACAACGGGAACUCCUGAUGUGACAAUUUCUAUUGAAUCAUGAGCUUGUUAGACUGUGUGGCUUUGCUUCUCUGGCAGUUUCUUCCUUUGUCCAGGACUAGGAGACUAACUGCUGAAAGAGUGUCUAGAUAAGGAGGAAAGCCAACUGAUUUUUUUUUUAAACUUUGCUUUUAAUUUUUACACCUUCACUUAAUUUCCAGAACCUUAUUUUUUGUUAUAUUUAUCAUGUUGUAAAUUCACCUAUAACAAUUUACAUGGAAGAAAAAGGAAGGUUUGGGUUUUUCAUAAAAAAUUAUUAAAAAAUUAUUUUUGUUUAUUGAAAAAUAUUAAAAAGAGAGUCUAUUAAAAAUUAUUUUUGUUUCAGUCAAGUUUCAACAGCAAAUGUUGAAGUACCAUUGAAAACUAUAGCCUUCCCAUUCCUGGAUAAUCUGUUUCUGUCCUUGUUUGCCUGCAUAUGUUUUAAGACUUUCCAGAGUGGUUGUUUCUAUUUAAGGCACAUCAUUUGCAGAAUUCUGAAAUACAAACCAGUUCUUUGAAAUUUUUGAUAAAGCUCAGUUCUUAAUAACAGGAGGGUUUCAAAUGCCCUCAUAGCCACUUGGCCAUCUGUAAAUAAAUGAAGUUCAAUGGGGAAAAUAGCAUAAGGAAGCCGUUUCGGUUACUAUUUCCAUUUUGUUCAUUCACAUCAUCAGAUUUCAAGAUGACAAAUAUGGAAAGAGUGUGAGAACCCGUUUAAAAAAAUACCGUAUUUUGAGACUUGGAUCUGAGUUCAAACACUCAAUCUAAAGGAGACGUAUGAUUCGAAUGUGAGUUAUUAUCUUUGUCAAUUUCCAGAAUUUAAAUUUAUGUUGGGAUAAAGCAAAUGCAGGGCUACAUUUAACAAUGGGGCACAUUCUUCUUUUUGAUUUAUUUAUUCUUCAAGCAGAGGCUCUUACAUUCUAUGUUUGAGACUAUGGGCACUUGUCCUAGGUAGACAUGAAUAUUAGAAUCUCAGAUUAUUAUUGUAUCCUGAUGUCCCCUCCUGGAUGUAGGCUUCAUCACUGGGUUGCAUUUAUACCAGCAGAGAUGGAAGUGAUUCUGAUUUACAGCUCAAAAUGUGGCUGCCUGAGCCAAAUGGCGAACAUUUCAUUAUUUCAGUUUUAUGGGUCGUGUCUGAAGGGGUUUGGUUCAGAAAAUGGACCCUUGCUCCAAAGGAGAAAGUCUGUUCCCAUGAGGUAGUAAGUACUGAGUCGGCAAAUUAUGGUAUGUCCAGCCCCAGAAUGUCAGACAAACCAUGUGUUGCAGCCGCCAAAGUCAUCCUACCUCAUGGGUGUACACACACCUAACUAUGCUCACCAAACAUGCAUAGACAGACAGCCACAGGACAUGAGUUGUUAGUUCUACUAUAGAAGAGAAAGGGGCCACAUGGUAGAGUGAGGUGGGGACACAGAGCCUGUGUUCCUCCCUUGCCUUCUUUCACACUCAUCUUUCCCUAGGGCCAAGAGGAAUACAGAUGGCAGGUGAAGAGGAGGAGAAAGCAGGACGUGAGCAUGUGUGUGAGUCUGUGUGCGUGUGAGUCCUCCAUGAUGGGGCUCUCAGACCUUUAUUCAAUCUCUGGCACAAUGCAGCCUCUGUAGAAAAGAUAUUAGGAACAAAAAACAAACUUGAAGAUUCAGGAGCAGGCUGCCAGAAUUAUUAAGAAAAACAUUCAGAUGAUGCCAUUAAAAACAUAUGGGGAUUCUAUAAAGCCCUGAAAAGAAAAUGUUUAAUUAUGCGCCGUAUGCAAAAGCCAUCACAUUGAGAUUAAUACUAAGGACUGAACUGCGUGGGGCGUAAGUAGUCCACAGUGAUGCAUCAAUCUUUUUACUCCUUUAAAAAUAAUGUUUUUCUUUCGCUGAUGACAAAUACCUUUCAAACUGUUGAGAUCAUGCUGCUCGAGUGAUACAUGGAGUUUAAUGAAGUCCAAAGUCACUAACAAAAGUUUCCAAAUUAAGGUUUCAAGGUCCUUGAGUUAGAUUUCUUUUUUUCCUUUACUCCCCUUCCUUCCCCUCAUUUCCCACCCCCAUAGGAGCUGCCCCUCCCCCUCCCCAUAACAUAAAGGUUGCCUUUGCUGGUGGGUUGGUUACAAGUAGCCAGUUUUGGGGUUUCCCAUUUUAAGAUGCCGUGAUGAUUCAUUGCCCAACAUUUAAGUGUUAAUAGUUACAGCUAUUUUUUAUUUCCACUUUCAAUAGCUCAUGUUAGAAGACUGAAGAAGUGCAGAAUUCAUACCUUUUUGAUAAACAUGGAGACUUUUCUUUCAUCCACAUCUGAUGUGUUGGAGAAUUUCUGCCAUCAUUUCCUUUGGGUUCUUGUAAAUGUGUAGAAUCAUUAUUCUAUACGGCUUUGUAUGUGUGAGAGGAGUGCCACAAUGAGAAAAGAAAUUGAACUUUGUAGUUAGUAGGGCUUCCAAACAAGUAUACUGGAUACGCUGUAUGUAAAUAUAAUUCCAAAUUGCAAAAAGUCUUUCGACUUUAGUUAUCUGAGUCUGCUCUUACUUUUAUACUCAUAGACAUGUAAAUAUUGGAAAGUUAGGUUGCUUCUCAAAAUUAAAAAAAAAAUAGUGUGCAG
rnacentral:lncRNA from 1 species